rnacentral:lncRNA from 1 species
CCUUAUGUGCCAAGCUCCUCCCCCAGAAUGAUUGCUACAAGUUCCCUCAUGUAGUUCUUUUAGGUCUACUAUGCUUCGGAUGGGUUUAGGGAGCGCAGAUAAGGACUUGAAAAAUGACAUCUUCUAUGAUUGCGUAUAGCGGCCUUCAUUCAGAGUUUUCUUGCUUCAAUUGGAUCUGCGGGUUACGUUCCUACCGUUAGGUAAUUUACUAUUGGCGUCAUUCACCUUACCUUCGAGUCCACUUGCAUAACUUGAGGUUCAACAGCUCCAACACUAGGGCUUUCCAAGCACUCUAGAGAUACGACUCUUUGUGAAUUCUCUCCUGAAAGUGAGGCCGAUGC